AGGAAGAGAGAGAUGUGAGGAAGAGAGAGAUGCGAGAAAGAGAGGCGAGAGAGAGAGGCGAGAGGCGGAGAGAGAGGCGAGGGAGAGCUGCGUGAGAGAGGUGGAGAGCUGCGUGAAUGGAAUGGGCUUAACCCGCGCUUUAAGAAAUGAUUGGAAUGAAUAAAAGAAUCGGUUUUCUUUGGGCGAACCAAACAGAAAAUUUUAUUUUUGGAAUGGAAUGGCACAUUCCAUUCUGGGCUAAACUGAUUCCAUUCUUUGGGCGAACCAAACAGAAAUUUUUAUUUUUGGAAUGGAAUGGACCAUUCCAUUCUGGGCUAAACUGAUUCCAUUCAUGCCAACCAAACAGAGUGUUAGAACCCUUACACUCCGUUUGGUUGGGAUGAAUGAAAUUUGCUAGGAAUGGAAUGAAAUUGAGAAUGGAAUGGUGGGAGAAUGGAAACAAGUUUGAAUGGAAUGAUCGAUUCAAGGUUCUUGUUUGGUUCAUUUUUUUAUGGUUGGAAUGGAAUGAACAAUUCCAUUCAUUUGAGUUGUUUGGUUACUCAAAGGAAUGGAAUGGUAAUUAAAUUUUUUUUUUAGCAAAUAUUUCCAUGUAAAACUUUAACUUUCAGAAUUUAUAUAUUACAUACACAAAUUAAUUAAUUUCAUAAUGCGUGGUUUGAAGAUUCUAGCUGCUUUCCAGAUUAAGGAUUAGCUGAGUGUAGAGAGGGGGAGAGGCAGAAAAGGAAGAGAGAGAUGUGAGGAAGAGAGAGAUGCGAGAAAGAGAGGCGAGAGAGAGAGGCGAGAGGCGGAGAGAGAGGCGAGGGAGAGCUGCGUGAGAGAGGUGGAGAGCUGCGUGAAUGGAAUGGGCUUAACCCGCGCUUUAAGAAAUGAUUGGAAUGAAUAAAAGAAUCGGUUUUCUUUGGGCGAACCAAACAGAAAAUUUUAUUUUUGGAAUGGAAUGGCACAUUCCAUUCUGGGCUAAACUGAUUCCAUUCUUUGGGCGAACCAAACAGAAAUUUUUAUUUUUGGAAUGGAAUGGACCAUUCCAUUCUGGGCUAAACUGAUUCCAUUCA
rnacentral:lncRNA from 1 species